rnacentral:rRNA from 2 species
CUUUAUUGGAGAGUUUGAUCCUGGCUCAGGAUGAACGCUGGCGGCGUGCCUAAUACAUGCAAGUCGAGCGAAUGGAUUAAGAGCUUGCUCUUAUGAAGUUAGCGGCGGACGGGUGAGUAACACGUGGGUAACCUGCCCAUAAGACUGGGAUAACUCCGG